CACAGCUUUAGGCUCAAAGUCCUCUGGAGAGGCUGAGAACAGCAGCUGACACUGAAAACAUUACUAAUCAGCAGCACUCAUGAGCUUUAGGCUCAAAGUCCUCUGGAGAGGCUGAGAACAGCAGCUGACACUGAAAACAUUACUAAUCAGCAGCACUCAUGAGCUUUAGGCUCAAAGUCCUCUGGAGAGGCUGAGAACAGCUGCUGGCACUGAAAACAUUACUAAUCAGCAGCACUCAUGAGAUGGCUAUGGCUUGCUGAUAGCAUCUGAUCUGAUGAGACUCCCUGGGGUCUAUUUUAAAACCUCUACGGGAUCGGUGUCCCCCCCCACCGGACAGUUGAGCUAACGUGUGCUAAUGUGAUUAGCAUAACCUUUUAAGUAACAAAAACCUUUCCCAGGACAUAGACAUAUUUGAUAUGGGCAGAAAGGUUAAAUUCUUGUUAAUCUACAGUGGGGGGAAAAGUAUUUGAUCCCCUGCUUAUUUUGUACGUUUGCCCACUUACAAAGAAAUGAUCAGUCUAUAAUUUUAAUGGUAGGUUUAUUUGAACAGUGAGACACAGAAUAACAACAAAAAAAUCCAGAAAAACGCAUGUCAAAAAUGUUAUAAAAUUAUUUGAAUUUUAAUCAAAUCAAAUCAAAUUGAUUUAUAUAGCCCUUCUUACAUCAGCUGAUAUCACAAAGUGCUGUACAGAAACCCAGCCUAAAACCCCAAACAGCAAGCAAUGCAGGUGUAGAAGCACGGUGGCUAGGAAAAACUCCCUAGAAAGGCCAAAACCUAGGAAGAAACCUAGAGAGGAACCAGGCUAUGAGGGGUGGCCAGUCCUCUUCUGGCUGUGCCGGGUUGAGAUUAUAACAACACCUGGGCUAGAUGUUCAAAUGUUCAUAAAUGACCAGCAUUGUCAAAUAAUAAUAAUCAUAGUAGUUGUCGAGGGUGCAACAAGUCAGUAACACAAGAGUAAGUGUCAGUUGGCUUUUUCAUAGCCGAUCUUUGAGAGUAUCUCUACCGCUCCUGCUGUCUCUAGAGAGUUGAAAACAGCAGGUCUGGGACAGGUAGCACGUCCGGUGAAUAGGUCAGGGUUCCAGCAGGUCUGGGACAACAGGUCUGGGACAGGUAGCACGUCCGGUGAACAGGUCAGGGUUCCAUAGCUGCAGGCAGAACAGUUGGAACUGGAGCAGAAGCACGGCCAGGUGAACUGGAGAUAGCAAGGAGUCAUCAAGCCAGGUAGUCCUGAGGCAUGGUCCUAGGGCUCAGGUCCUCCGAGAGAGAGAAAGAAAGACAGAAAAAGAGAGAAUUAGAGAGAGCAUAUUUAAAUUCACACAGGACACCGGAAAAGACAAGAUAAAUACUCCAGAUGUGACAGACUGACCCUAGCCCCCCGACACAUAAACUACUGCAGCAUAAAUACUGGGGCUGAGACAGGAGGGGUCAGGAGACACUGUGGCCCCAUCCGAUGAAACCCCCGGACAGGGCCAAACAGGUAGGAUAUAACCCAACUUUGCCAAAGCACAGCCUCCACACCACUGGAGGGAUAUCUCCAACCACCAACAUACCAUCCCGGGACAAGGCCGAGUAUAACCCACAAAGAUCUCCGCCACGGCACAGCCCAAGGGGGGGCGCCAACCCAGACAGGAAGACCACGUCAGUGUCUCAACCCACUCAAGUGACGCACCCCUCCCAGGGACGGCAUGGAAGAACACCAGUAAGCCAGUGCCUCAGCCCCCGUAAUAGGGGUAGAGGCAGAGAAUCCCAGUGGAAAGAGGGGAAACCGGCCAGGCAGAGACAGCAAGGGCGGUUCGUUGCUCCAGUCUUUCCGUUCACCUUCACACCCCUGGGCCAGA
rnacentral:lncRNA from 1 species